GGUGGCAAUGUUGAUGCCUACUCCAUAAUUAGGGUAAAUUUUUCUGCGAGCUUCAUUUCCUUUAUGUAAUAAAGACUUUUAGUGUCAUAGAUUGUUCAAGCUUGCAUUAUGAUAUAGUUUGCAUUAUUGUGCAUGCCUUCAUGUUUCUGCCACUAAAUGAUCACACUUUUGUCUUCAUGUUAGAUAUCAAAUAUGAAGUUUUUAAUUUUCAUUCCUCCUACAGGACCCAGUUGUGCAGAAUUUAUUUAGCUGAAUUAGGAGUUGCCAGGACUCAUAAUUUUUUAUUCUGCUUAUAACAGGAAUCUAUAGUUUGUCCAGUUGC
rnacentral:misc_RNA from 1 species